rnacentral:rRNA from 1 species
UACGGAGGGCGGAAGCGUUGUUCGGAAUUACUGGCCGUAAAGCGCGUGUAGGCUGCCAGGUAAGUCGGAUGUGAAAGCCCGGGGCCCAACCCCGGAACUGCACCCGAUACUGCCUGGCUGGAGUCCCGGAGAGGAUGGCGGAAUUUCCGGUGUAGAGGGGAAAUUCGUAGAUAUCGGAAGGAACCCCAGUGGCGAAGGCGGCCAUCUGGACGGUGACUGACGCUGAGACGCGAAAGCGUGGGGAGCAAAUAGG